CCUACGGGUGGCAGCAGUGAGGAAUAUUGGUCAAUGGGCGCGAGCCUGAACCAGCCAAGUAGCGUGAAGGAUGACUGCCCUACGGGUUGUAAACUUCUUUUAUAAGGGAAUAAAGUGAGGCACGUGUGCCUUUUUGUAUGUACUAUAUGAAUAAGGAUCGGCUAACUCCGUGCCAGCAGCCGCGGUAAUACGGAGGAUCCGAGCGUUAUCCGGAUUUAUUGGGUUUAAAGGGAGCGUAGAUGGGUUGUUAAGUCAGUUGUGAAAGUUUGCGGCUCAACCGUAAAAUUGCAUUUGAUACUGGCAGCCUUGAGUACAGUAGAGGUAGGCGGAAUUCGUGGUGUAGCGGUGAAAUGCUUAGAUAUCACGAAGAACUCCGAUUGCGAAGGCAGCUUACUAAACUGCCACUGACACUGAGGCUCGAAAGUGUGGGUAUCAAACAGGAUUAGAUACCCGUGUAGUC
rnacentral:rRNA from 1 species